AUGUAGAGAUAAGUUUUCCCUUCGGGGGCAACGGUACAGGUGGUGCAUGGUUGUCGUCAGCUCGUGUCGUGAGAUGUUGGGUUAAGUCCCGCAACGAGCGCAACCCUUGAUCUUAGUUGCCAUCAUUUAGUUGGGCACUCUAAGGUGACUGCCGGUGACAAACCGGAGGAAGGUGGGGAUGACGUCAAAUCAUCAUGCCCCUUAUGACCUGGGCUACACACGUGCUACAAUGGACGAUACAAACGGUUGCCAACUCGCGAGAGGGAGCUAAUCCGAUAAAGUCGUUCUCAGUUCGGAUUGUAGGCUGCAACUCGCCUACAUGAAGCCGGAAUCGCUAGUAAUCGCGGAUCAGCAUGCCGCGGUGAAUACGUUCCCGGGCCUUGUACACACCGCCCGUCACACCACGAGAGUUUGUAACACCCGAAGUCGGUGGGGUAACCUUUGGAGCCAGCCGCCGAAGGUGGAUAGAUGAUUGUGGU
rnacentral:rRNA from 1 species